AGACAUGGGCAUCACACGCCUCAGCACUGGUGAGUAAGGCAAGGCAGCGCCUUUACCACCUCAGGCAAUUGAGGAAAUUCAGAGUGUCUCCGAGGAUCCUCCAGUGCUUCUACGCAGCGGCGGUGGAAAGCAUCUUGUCCGGGAACAUUACCAUCUGGUUCGGGAAUUGCUCUGCCAAGGACAAGAAGGCUCUGCAGAGAGUAGUGCGUUCGGCCGAACAAACGCACUAUGGGAACUUCACUCACCCCCCUGCAGGAACUAUACAACAGGAGGUGCAACUCCAGAGCAAUGGGAGACCCCUUCCACCCCUGCAACGGACUGUUCCAGCUGCUACGGUCAGGCAAACGCCUCCGUUGCCAUGCAGUGAGGGCGGAGAGGUUGAGAAGGAGUUUCUUCCCAGAGGCAAUUCGGACUGUAAACGCCUUUCUCACCAGGGACUAACUCUACUGAACGUUUUUCCUUCUAUUAUUUAUUAUGUAAAAUAAUAUGUGUGUUAUGAUUGUGUUUAUAAUUUGUUUGGUUGUUUUGUUGUUCCGCGAGCAUUGCCACUUUCAUUGCCACUUUCAUUUCACUGCACAUCUCGUAUGUGUAUGUGACAAAUAAACUUGACUUGACUUGACUUGACCGUGCCCUCUUCCCCCACAUAAAAACACCAAAAAAACACACUUUUACAUAACUAAAUAAACAGAAAAACAAAAAGAUGUAGGUGGAGGCCACCGGAAGUACAACACGUUUUUAACAUAUUUUUAAGGCGGAGAUAGAUUGUUGAUCAGUCAAGUCAAGUCAAGUUUAUUUGUCACAUACACAUACGAGAUGUGCAGUGAAAUGAAAGUGGCAAUGCUCGCGGAACAACAAAACAACCAAACAAAUUAUAAACACAAUCAUAACACACAUAUUAUUUUACAUAAUAAAUAAUAGAAGGAAAAACGUUCAGUAGAGUUAGUCCCUGGUGAGAUAGGCGUUUACAGUCCGAAUUGCCUCUGGGAAGAAACUCCUUCUCAACCUCUCCGCCCCCACCGCAUGGCAACGGAGGCGUUUGCCUGACCGUAGCAGCUGGAACAGUCCGUUGCAGGGGUGGAAGGGGUCCCCCAUUGCUCUGGAGUUGCACCUCCUGUUGUAUAGUUCCUGCAGGGGGGUGAGUGAAGUUCCCAUAGUGCGUUUGUUCGGCCGAACGCACUACUCUCUGCAGAGCCUUCUUGUCCUGGGCAGAGCAAUUCCCGAACCAGAUGCGGGUGAUUAAGAUGUGUCAUCCCAUCCGAAUGAGAUGGGUGGAAUGAAACAUGUCUGUGGUAAACCAAGUGAUAAGGAGAGUUGGGACAACUGGCGAGCAGAUGUAACGGCCUUUGUCUUUUCCCCAGGCGCUGAACAUUACCACCCAUGUACUGAAGUCAGGAGGGACAUUUGUGGCAAAGAUAUUCCGGGGGAAAGACGUCACCCUUCUCUACUCACAGCUGAGACUCUUCUUCCAGCGGGUGACCUGUGCAAAGCCUCGCAGCAGCCGGAACUCCAGCAUCGAGGCGUUUGUG